rnacentral:sRNA from 1 species
GCCGGGCGUUGUGGUGGGCGCCUGUAGUCCCAGUUACUUGGGAGGCGGAGGCAGGAGACUCGAUUGAGCCCAGGAGUUGGAGGUUGCUGUGAGCAGUGAAGCCAUGGCACUCUACCCAGGGGCUCAGCUUGAGGCUCUGUCUCAAAAAAAAAAAGAAAAGUGUCCACUGAAUUUUUUUUUUUUCUGAGACAGAGUCUCACCUUGUCACCUUUGGUAGAGUGCCAUGGCAUCAUAGCCCACAGCAAUCUCAAAUUCUUGGGCUCAAGUGAUUCCUUGCCU